rnacentral:rRNA from 1 species
GGUGGUUCGCAAGAGCGACCAGGGAGUGGCGGACGGGUGAGGAACACGUGGGUGACCUACCUUGCAGUGAGGGAUACCGGCGAGAAAUCGCCGACAAGCCCGCAUACGCUUCCCGCUUCACCGCGGGAAGGAAAGCUUCUUCGCAAGAGGAGGCGCUGAGAGAUGGGCCCGCGGCCGAUUAGCUAGCUGGUGGGGUAAUGGCUUACCAGGGCGACGAUCGGUAGCUGGUCUGAGAGGACGAUCAGCCACACUGGGAUUGAGAACGGCCCAGACUCCUACGGGGGGCAGCAGUGAGGAAUUUUCGGCAAUGGGGGCAACCCUGACCGAGCAACGCCGCGUGCAGGAGGACGGCCUUCGGGUUGUAAACUGCUUUUCUCUGGGACGAGCAAGGACGGUACCAGAGGAAGAAGCCCCGGCUAACUACGUGCCA